rnacentral:rRNA from 1 species
GCUCAGAGUAUAAGCCAAUGGAGCUUGGAAGGCUUCCGCAGCCGGGUUCAUCAUACGUGGUGUCCUUAAGACCUUGAGUAAAGCUCGUCAGGCGUAGCAUUGAGUUUGCCAGGUUUAGCUGUCGUGCGGGGGCUUAGCGAGGGGGGACUUUGCUUCGGCUUAGCUAUCUCCCGAGCGGCCCUUUGGAAUGGACGUUCAGAGGCUCUUGGUCUAAUGCGGUUAUGCCCACCACAGCACGUUGUGAGGUCACCCACAGGCUCAAACUGCCGAUCGCGCAUCCAGGACGAUGGCAACGAUGCGUUGUUGAUGAUGGCUCGAAAGAGACUUGACUCAGACGCGUGUCUAGUCCUGGGUCGGGCGGCGACCGAGAUAAACCUGGUAUGAUCCUCUUGCGACGAGCUGCUUUCUGGCCAGACCGACGUCCGGGCGCUUCCACUGUGCCGGAAGUGUCUAUCCCAGGCGGUCUUGACCCAGCUGCAUUAUGCAAGGUCUCUCAGCCGGGCGUUGGUCUGAGUGGUGUUAAGUCCAGCACCAUUGGUCACGUCUCGAAACACGGGCCAAGGAGUAUAGCAUGUGUGCAAGUCUAAGGGUCUCACAAAACCCGAAGGCGAAGUGAAAGCAAGACUGUGGCGGGUGAGCUACGGCAAACCCGCCGGCCUGGUGGCGCGUGCGUCGCCGGCUUAAACAGAGCUGAUCCUGUUUUCUCGGUUAAUUCUUGGUGCAGGCGCAAGCUCCGGGCUCACGUACAACACUGGUCACGCCUCGUG